rnacentral:rRNA from 1 species
CAACCUGCCGACAACACUGGGAUAGCCUUUCGAAAGAAAGAUUAAUACCGGGUGGCAUAAUUAUUCCGCAUGGGAUAAUUAUUAAAGAAUUACGGUUGUCGAUGGGGAUGCGUUCCAUUAGGCAGUUGGCGGGGUAACGGCCCACCAAACCAACGAUGGAUAGGGGUUCUGAGAGGAAGGCCCCCCACAUUGGAACUGAGACACGGUCCAAACUCCUACGGGAGGCAGCAGUGAGGAAUAUUGGUCAAUGGACGAGAGUCUGAACAGCCAAGUAGCGUGAAGGAUGACUGCCCUAUGGGUUGUAAACUUCUUUUAUACGGGAAUAAAGUGAGCCACGUGUGGCUUUUUGUAUGUACCGUAUGAAUAAGGAUCGGCUAACUCCGUGCCAGCAGCCGCGGUAAUACGGAGGAUCCGAGCGUUAUCCGGAUUUAUUGGGUUUAAAGGGAGCGUAGGCGGGUUGUUAAGUCAGUUGUGAAAGUUUGCGGCUCAACCGUAAAAUUGCAGUUGAUACUGGAUGUCUUGAGUGCAGUUGAGGCAGGCGGAAUUCGUGGUGUAGCGGUGAAAUGCUUAGAUAUCACGAAGAACUCCGAUUG